rnacentral:rRNA from 1 species
UACGUAGGCAGCAAGCGUUGUUCGGAGUUACUGGGCGUAAAGCGUAUGCAGGCGGAUCGUUAAGUCGGGGGUGAAAUCCCGAGGCUCAACCUCGGAACUGCCUUCGAUACUGGCGACCUUCGAGUCCGGGAGAGGUGAGUGGAACUCCGAGUGUAGAGGUGAAAUUCGUAGAUAUUCGCAAGAACACCGGUGGCGAAGGCGGGUUCUCU